CGCUAGCCCAGAUGGAAACGGCAUCCUAUUGUGUAUCGUCUUUUUUUGGACGAGACACAAUAGAUAUAGUGUACAGCUGGAAAUUGC
rnacentral:sRNA from 1 species